rnacentral:lncRNA from 1 species
UUUCCUUAGCUGCAGUGUUGCUGACUGAGGUGGUGUCCUGCUCUGGGGGGGCUCAGCCCUGGGGGUGGUUGGGGAAGAGCUGCAUGGCUGCCAUGGGCUGCCUGCCACAGUCACCAUCUGAGCAGCAGAAUUUUCCUGUCUGCUGGUUCCACUUUCAGACAGGCUGCACAGACAUAGCCCCCCGUGUGCUUCUAGUUGCUUGUACUACUGGAGAAAUUUGCACAUUCUAAAACAAGCUUGUGAUUUUUUUUUUCUAUUGCAGUUGUACCAGGACCCAUUUGCCCUACUGUCCCUGUCCCCACCACUGCCCACACCCCUACAGAUGAUUUCAGAGCUGCAGAAGUCAGAUGUGGGAUUAAUAACUAUGAAAUACUGUACAUGUCACUGGCCUUCAUCUCUGGCAUCCUCCUGACUGUCCUGGUUUUUGCAAUCAUCUUCCUCUUCAGGAAAAGGUCUAAAAGAUGCCACCAAAAUUUACAAGAGGAAACUUUCUCCCAGAUGGCAGCUGAGGAAUCUGUUAGGAACACCCAGGUAAAUGUCACAACUGUCAUUUUAAUGCUUCUUGCAGAUAUUUCACAUUCUUGAUAGUGUGGUAAAUAUUAAUUUGCGGUGGGAGGGAGAAAAGGCACCUUUGAGACUCAGCUGUUAUUCAGCAGUUCUUUUGACAACUUCAGGGUUUCUGGGGCUCAACCACUGAUGAGGCAGCUUAGGAGAAAUCUUUUUAAAGGGGGAGCAUGUCUGCAGUUUUCCUCUGUGAUAUGAAUUCUUUGGAAGCCCCUAAAGGAGACUUUACCCUGAGCCAGCCUGG